rnacentral:ncRNA from 1 species
UAAUGCAGGAGAGGAGCACUGCCCAGGCAGGCAUUUUGUGGAGCCAUAACUCCAAAACAAGAUGCUGAUGGGGAGCAGUGCCGAGAUGAUUUCAACGUAUGGGUUGAGAUUGUCGGUUAUCGGGGCUGAAUCCCCUUAACUGUCACUGGUCUCCCCAGUGAAGAGCUUCUGAAGGU